rnacentral:rRNA from 1 species
GGCCGCAGUAUAUUAACUGUGCAAAGGUAGCAUAAUCAUUAGUCUUUUAAUUGAAGGCUGGUAUGAAUGGUUGGACAAAAUAUUAACUGUUUCAUAAAAAUUUAUAAUAAAAUUUUAUUUUUUAGUUAAAAAGCUAAAAUUUAUUUAAAAGACGAGAAGACCCUAUAAAUCUUUAUAUUUAUAUUAUAAUAAUUUUUUAGAAAAUUUUUAUUAUUAUAAUUUAUAGUAUUUUAUUGGGGUGAUAUUAAAAUUUAAUAAACUUUUAAUUUUUUUUUUUCAUUAAUUUAUGAUUAGUUGAUCCGUUAUUAACGAUUAAAAAAAUAAGUUACUUUAGGGAUAACAGCGUAAUUUUUUUGGAGAGUUCAUAUUAAUAAAAAAGAUUGCGACCUCGAUGUUGGAUU